GACCUGCCCGACUUCCCUUCCCGAAUGAUCUCCCCGAAAACCCGAAUUAUCCUCUGGCGGUAGUUCCGAUCCCGCGAUGCCACUCGUCGAUGGCCUCCGAUGCGGGCUUUGGGAGGGCGGAAGGCACGGAGAGCAGCUUGAAGAAGAUCAAGCGGUUCCUGCUGCAGGCCCCGCUUCUCAAGCGAUCGGAAACGAUUCCAACAACCAGCGCAGCCCAGUUGGUGCUACGGGCUUACAGAGAGGGUCUGAGUAACUUCAAUUGGAAUGAUUCUACAUAAUUAAGAACAGUUGCUACUUUGGUUGCAGCUGCUAACUCAACUGUGAUGGAAGCAUCAGAAGAAACUGAAGCAGCAAUGAUGAUCUCCAUGAGAGCUGCUUUGGGCUUGGUGACUAAUAAUCCAAAUGAAGGUCAUCUUGAUGAUCUUACAAUUAUGAAGAUUGCAAAGCAACAUAAAGCAGGCCUGUGAAGAAAGAUCUGAGUCUGCUCUGGUGCUGAUGACACUCUUCCGUUAACAAAGCAUGCUGACUCAUCGAAGGAUGAUGUCGGCGAAGCUUGCUUAAACGAUUCUGGAUUAGUCUCGGUUUCCAUAGACAGCGUGGUUCAGCUAGCAGAAGGUGGAGUGGAGAUCCAUUCAUUUGGAGAUGCUGAGUGGUGUGGCUUCCGAUCUACUGAUGCAAGGAUAGCUGAUGUACGUGAAAUCUCCCUUGAAGCAGGAGGCAUCUUGGCCAUUUUUGUUGUUAAUCCAACAGUUGAUUGUCAUCAACUUGAGCUGCCAUUUUUGUUGUUAAUCCAACAGUUGAUGGUCAUCAACUUGGGGGGAUCACUUGGCCACCUUGAUGCUUAGACCAUUUUCAAUAAUUUUGUAAUGGUUUUGUGGGUAAUGCAUCAAUUAAUAUGAUUGAAUAAAGUUUGUACCGUGACAUGCCGAGGCAUCUGUUUGAAAACUCGACUCAAUUCGAGGGACAGUACCAGGAUAUCCAAAAGAACUGCCAGAAAAGAGAUCAAUGAAGGCUUUUUUUUAUCCAUUCAAGAUUUGGCUUGAUCAGACCAACCAUCUUAUUGGGUGAGCUAAACUUCGCGAUUAAUGCCAUUAAAUGUUUCAGUUAUGCUCUCUGAUUCUGUGUCUCCUAGAACGUUGCAGUUGAUUCCUGAGAUAUGGUUGAAUUAUGCAUCAUGGUGUCAUUCCAAAAUAAUAUAUAUGUUUACUGGAAUGAAUUAUGGUACAAUUAAUUUAUUUGAUGUUCCAAUUGGAUAUGUUUGCAUUUAGAAGACAUUGUUGAGUUGUUGACCAUGAACAGUUG